rnacentral:tRNA from 1 species
AGCUUAGUAGUUAAUAAUUUUAUAACUAAGAACUGCAAAUUCUUCAUAGUCUAAUCAGACCUGAGCUU